AAAUAAAUAAACAUUAAAAUCAUCAUAGUAAUAGUAAUGCUUUAAUGCAGUUUUGAUCCCCCUAUUUUGAAAAACUUGAACUUUUGAUCCUCUAUUUUAAAAGUCAACUUUUUGAUUCCCCUAUUUUUGUUUUUCUGAAUUUUAGUCCUCCAGCCCAUUUUGGUCAAAUAUUUGUUGAUGUGUCAAGCUCAUUGAUGACGUGGCAGUGUCCAUGUGGACAAAUUAUUUUUCAUGUCAUUAAUGUUUUCCUUUAAAUCAAAUAUUAUGUUUUUU
rnacentral:lncRNA from 1 species